rnacentral:rRNA from 1 species
CGGCGAGUGAACCGGGAAGAGCUCAAAUUUGAAAUCUGGCGUCCUCAGGGCGUCCGAGUUGUAAUCUAUAGAGGCGUUUUCCGUGCCGGACCGUGUCCAAGUUCCUUGGAACAGGAUAUCAAAGAGGGUGACAAUCCCGUACUUGACACGAUGACCGGUGCUCUGUGAUACGUCUUCUACGAGUCGAGUUGUUUGGGAAUGCAGCUCAAAAUGGGUGGUGAGUUCCAUCUAAAGCUAAAUAUUGGCGAGAGACCGAUAGCGAACAAGUACCGUGAGGGAAAGAUGAAAAGCACUUUGGAAAGAGAGUUAAACAGUACGUGAAAUUGUUGAAAGGGAAACGAUUGAAGUCAGUCGUGACCGAGAGGCUCAGCCGGUUCUGCCGGUGUAUUCCCCUCGGUCGGGUCAACAUCAGUUUUGUCCGGUGGAUAAGGGCGGCAGGAAGGUGGCACCCUCGGGUGUGUUAUAGCCUGCCGUCGCAUACAUCGGGUGAGACUGAGGAACGCAGCUCGCCUUUAUGGCCGGGGUUCGCCCACGUCCGAGCUUAGGAUGUUGACAUAAUGGCUUUAAACGACCCGUCUUGAACCACGGAC